rnacentral:rRNA from 1 species
ACGGGAGGCAGCAGUGAGGAAUAUUGGUCAAUGGUCGGAAGACUGAACCAGCCAAGUAGCGUGGAGGAUGACGGCCCUACGGGUUGUAAACUCCUUUUGCCGGGGGAUAAAAAACGGGACGCGUCCCGUCUUGCAGGUACCCGUGCGAAUAAGGACCGGCUAAUUCCGUGCCAGCAGCCGCGGUAAUACGGAAGGUCCGGGCGUUAUCCGGAUUUAUUGGGUUUAAAGGGAGCGUAGGCGGGCCUUUAAGUCAGUGGUAAAAGCGUGUGGCUCAACCAUACCACGCCAUUGAAACUGGAGGCCUUGAGUGCACACAGGGAUGCUGGAAUUCGUCGUGUAGCGGUGAAAUGCUUAGAUAUGACGAAGAACUCCGAUCGCGAAGGCAGGUGUCCGGGGUGUAACUGACGCUGAGGCUCGAAAGUGCGGGUAUCAAACAGGAUUAGAUACCCUGGUA